ACCGACCGUUCGGGAGCCUAUACAGGUGUUGCAUGGCUGUCGUCAGCUCGUGUCGUGAGAUGUUCGGUUAAGUCCGCUAACGAGCGCAACCCUCGUCGUAUGUUAUAUGUGUCAUACGAGACUGCCGGUAAAAGCCGGGGAAGGUGAGGAUGAUGUCAAGUCAGCAUGACCUUUAUAUCCAGGGCUACACACACGCUACAAUGGUCUGUACAAUGGGUAGCCAAGCCGCGAGGCGGAGCCAAUCCUGAAAGCAGGCCUCAGUUCAGAUUGCAGUCUGCAACUCGACUGCAUGAAGCCGGAGUUGCUAGUAACCGCAGGUCAGCAAUACUGCGGUGAAUACGUUCCCGGGUCUU
rnacentral:rRNA from 1 species